rnacentral:tmRNA from 1 species
GUUGUUUGAUUCAUCGCCCUUUUUUGUGAUAGAGUAAAGCCGCUGUUUCGGCAGCUAUGGCAAUAAACGCUUUGUGACAUAAGCGACGUGGACCCGGGGGCGGUACCCGGCGCCUCCACCCCAGCACCGGCCCGUGAUGAGCCGGAUGGUGCUGCGGCGGGGGCGAAACAGGAUCGACACGCGUGGUAAAGACAUGGUUUUUGCUCGGCAUGAUACCGCCGUUAUCGGGUCAAACCUAGAAAUGCCAACGAUAACUUCGUUAGCACGGAAGCUCGUAUCGCCGCCUAACAUUCGCUUUGCGAAUUAAGGCAGUGAUGUGACUUACGCGGCUCGGGGGGCGCCGGGCAACAGAAGCCCCCCACC